GACGUAGGAGGCGAGCGUUGUCCGGAUUCAUUGGGCGUAAAGAGCACGCAGGCGGUUUGGCAAGUCGGAUGUGAAAGCCCGGAGCUCAACUCCGGACCUGCAUCCGAAACUGCCCGACUAGAGGUAGGUAGGGGAGAUCGGAAUUCCUGGUGUAGCGGUGAAAUGCGCAGAUAUCAGGAGGAACACCGGUGGCGAAGGCGGAUCUCUGGGCCUUACCUGACGCUCAGGUGCAAAAGCUAGGGGAGCGAACAGG
rnacentral:rRNA from 1 species